rnacentral:rRNA from 1 species
CUUUGAUUGAAAGUAAAAAUCGUAACAAGGUUUCCGUAGGUGAACCUGCGGAAGGAUCAUUAUUGAAUAUUCUUGAUGGGUUGUAGCUGGCUCUUAGGGGCAUGUGCACACUUGUCUUGACUUUAUUCAUCCACCUGUGCACCCUUUGUAGUCUUGGGGGUUGAGAGCAGUCGACUAUCGGAUGGCUAUGGCUUUUCCGGACAUGAGGAUUGCUGAGUGCGCAAGCAUACAGCUCUUCUCAAAUGGCUUGCAAAACCUCUCCCUCGAGUACUAUGUAUUCAUAUACCACAUAGUAUGUUGAAGAAUGUGAUCAAUGGGCCUAUGUGCCUAUAACAAUCAUAUACAACUUUCAGCAACGGAUCUCUUGGCUCUCGCAUCGAUGAAGAACGCAGCGAAAUGCGAUAAGUAAUGUGAAUUGCAGAAUUCAGUGAAUCAUCGAAUCUUUGAACGCACCUUGCGCUCCUUGGUAUUCCGAGGAGCAUGCCUGUUUGAGUGUCAUUAAAUUCUCAACCCCUCCAGCUUUUGCGAGUUGUGAUGGGGCUUGGAUCUGGGAGUUUGCGGGUCUUUAUCAAUAAAGGUCAGCUCUCCUGAAAUACAUUAGCGGAACCGUUUGCAGUCCCGUCACUAGUGUGAUAAUUAUCUACGCUGUGAUGAUUGCUCUCUGACUAGUUCAGCUGCUAAUCGUCCACUAUGGACAACACUUAAUGAACUUCUUGACCUCAAAUCAGGUAGGACUACCCGCUGAACUUAAGCAUAUCAAAA